rnacentral:ncRNA from 12 species
CGGGUGUUGGUUGGGAGUAUCCGCAAGGACUCCGGGGCUUAUCUAUAGGCCCUAAGACAGCCAGCACCCGUU